rnacentral:lncRNA from 1 species
UGAGGGGAAUUGUCAAUUAUGGCAACUUUUGUAAGAUCAACACCUAAUACAGUCAGAUCCUUUAUGUAAUUUCCAUGUGAAAAAAUGCAUGACUCGCGAUACACCCGGCGUGAAAUAAGUCUUCCAUCAGGAUCCAAUAUAUCAAGUAGUUGUUUUGCAUAUAUGCUUUGGCUGGCAGUAAAAAUAAUUACUUCAAACAUCUCUGACACUGUCUCCAAGAACGUCUGGAGGUUAGGCCUCUGUCUUACAUAUACUGUGUUCUCUUUCAUGUUGUAGAAAACAUUGAAAGUGAAAUCCGCAUCAUCACAAUGUUCAAGCGUGGAAUGAACAAGUGUCUCUGCACAAAAGCGAGUACAUAUUACUAAAGAUAACUACGUUUAGAAUCACACUCAUAUUCUAGUAAGACACACUAGAUUGGACCUAUGAUUGAAACGACAUUCAGUUCAUGACAGCAUUCACAUUGAAAUUUACAUCCAAUGCUAUAUGAAAUAAGUAUAACAUUAUUAACAAUCGCUAGGAAACAUGUUAAUUUCUUACCGUCUAAAUCCAGCACUAGGGUUACUGACUUUCUUCUUCGAGUCUGCUUCGGUAUUUGGGUGAACAGAUCAUUUGAUUCUAAAUCUGAUAGUUCUGUAAAAUUCUUGAUAAACAAUUGUGGAUCAAAGCACUCCAUCUUAUCAGAAUCAUUUUUAACAUCAGAAUCUUGAUUGAAAUUUCUUUUCGUCUGACACAAUGCUGAAUACAAGCUAGCAUUUUCUUUAACCAUCAUAGGUUCCUCGCAUGAUAUGCUAUCUUUUGUACUGCCAAAAUUAACAUCAUCUUCAAGGGCAGGCAGGACCAUGUUGUGGUCAGGUACAUCAAACAAGGUUGGCUCAUGAGACUUAUAAUCAGAAAUAUAGUUGAUGAUGUCAAAGUUAUCAUCAUCGAAGAAAUCUCCAAAGGGUAAGCUUGCCAUGAUCAUGUCAGAAAUGAAAAAGUCUGAUACAUCACAUGUUUCAUAGCCACAUAUGCUUCUUCUCUCAUCACUUUUAUCAGCACUUACUCCGGGCAUGUCAGUAUCACCAAUUCUCCCUAUUAUAGAACAGACAACCAAAACAUCAUAAUUUGCAAAUAGUCUUAGUCAUAAGUAAUAAGCAGCCAGAUAUAGUGGUGCAGGCAGUUUUUUUGUAGUCUACAUACAUGGCUUGAAACUCAAUAAAGCAAUGAAAGGAGCAAGGAUUAAUAUCAAGAAACAUUAUUGACUAGAAUAUGGCCAUAAGGCUAUUAUUGACUAUAUGCAAGAAACAUUCUAAGAUUCCAUUUUUCCAAUAUUGUCUUCAUUAAGCACAAGUGUCUCUACUAAUGUUAGAUUCCCCAAAAUAAACCUUAUGAAGCUUCUGUAAUGUACCUAGUUAUUAUCUCAUAAUCCCCUUAAUAUAUAUAUAGCAUUAGUAAGAAAAGAGAAAAACCUUAAAAGAAAUUAGAAAGUGCUUCAAAUAGGGAUGCUAAAGAACAAGAAACAGCAAAAAAGAGUGUCAGGUUAUGCACCUGAGGGGAAUUGUCAAUUAUGGCAACUUUUGUAAGAUCAACACCUAAUACAGUCAGAUCCUUUAUGUAAUUUCCAUGUGAAAAAAUGCAUGACUCGCGAUACACCCGGCGUGAAAUAAGUCUUCCAUCAGGAUCCAAUAUAUCAAGUAGUUGUUUUGCAUAUAUGCUUUGGCUGGCAGUAAAAAUAAUUACUUCAAACAUCUCUGACACUGUCUCCAAGAACGUCUGGAGGUUAGGCCUCUGUCUUACAUAUACUGUGUUCUCUUUCAUGUUGUAGAAAACAUUGAAAGUGAAAUCCGCAUCAUCACAAUGUUCA